rnacentral:rRNA from 1 species
GAUGAACGCUAGCGGCAGGCUUAAUACAUGCAAGUCGAGGGGCAUCAAGGUACACGAAAGUGUAUUGUUGGCGACCGGCGGACGGGUGAGUAAUAGGUAGGUAACCUACCUCAUACUGAGGCAUAGCUGGGAGAAAUUCCAGGUAAUUCCUCAUGAGGUUAUAUGACACAUGUGAUAUAAUCAAAGGUAUCGCAAGGUACUGGUAUGAGAUGGGCUUACUGACCAUUAGCUAGUUGGUGAGAUAAGAGCUCACCAAGGCGAAGAUGGUUAGGGGUUUGAGAGAGAGAUCCCCCAAUUGGAACUGAGAUACGGUCCAGACUCCUACGGGAGCAGCAGUAGGGAAUAUGGGCAAUGGGCGGAAGCCUGACCCAGCCAUGCCGCGUGAAGGAAGACGGCCUUAUGGGUUGUAAACUUCUUUACUAUGCGACUAACUAGAUUUACGAGAUAAUUCUAUAGAAUGUAGCAUAGCAAAAAGCACC